rnacentral:rRNA from 1 species
AUUGAACGCUGGCGGCAGGCCUAACACAUGCAAGUCGAGCGAGCGGCGGACGGGUGAGUAAUGUAUGGGGAUCUGCCCGAUAGAGGGGGAUAACUACUGGAAACGGUGGCUAAUACCGCAUACUAUCGGAUGAACCCCUAUGGGAUUAGCUAGUAGGUGGGGUAACGGCUCACCUAGGCGACGAUCCCUAGCUGGUCUGAGAGGAUGACCAGCCACACUGGAACUUAGACACGGGACAGACUCCUACGGGAGGCAGCAGUGGGGAAUAUUGCACAAUGUGCGCAAGACUGAUGCAGCCAUGCCGCGUGUAUGAAGAAGGCCUUCGGGUGGUAAAGUACUUUCAGCGAGGAGGAGGUAGUCGAAGAAGAAGCACCGGCUAACUCCGUGCCAGCAGGCGCGGUAAUUG